rnacentral:tRNA from 1 species
GUUUUAAUAGUUUAAACAAAACAUUGGUCUUGUAAACCAAAAUUGAAUUUUAAAAUUUUUUAAAACU